rnacentral:rRNA from 1 species
CAGCCGCCACGGGAAUACGGAGGGUGCAAGCGUUAAUCGGAAUUACUGGGCGUAAAGCGCACGCAGGCGGUCUGACAAGUCAGAUGUGAAAUCCCCGGGCUUAACCUGGGAACUGCAUUUGAAACUGUCAGGCUGGAGUCUUGUAGAGGGGGGUAGAAUUCCAGGUGUAGCGGUGAAAUGCGUAGAGAUCUGGAGGAAUACCGGUGGCGAAGGCGGCCCCCUGGACAAAGACUGACGCUCAGGUGCGAAAGCGUGGGGAGCAAACAGGAUUAGAUACCCGGGUAGUCCCUGUCUCUUAUAC